UAGGGAAUCUUCCGCAAUGGGCGAAAGCCUGACGGAGCAACGCCGCGUGAGUGAAGAAGGAUUUCGGUUCGUAAAGCUCUGUUGUUAGGGAAGAAUGAUUGUGUAGUAACUAUACACAGUAGAGACGGUACCUAACCAGAAAGCCACGGCUAACUACGUGCCAGCAGCCGCGGUAAUACGUAGGUGGCAAGCGUUGUCCGGAAUUAUUGGGCGUAAAGCGCGCGCAGGUGGUUUAAUAAGUCUGAUGUGAAAGCCCACGGCUCAACCGUGGAGGGUCAUUGGAAACUGUUAAACUUGAGUGCAGGAGAGAAAAGUGGAAUUCCUAGUGUAGCGGUGAAAUGCGUAGAGAUUAGGAGGAACACCAGUGGCGAAGGCGGCUUUUUGGCCUGUAACUGACACUGAGGCGCGAAAGCGUGGGGAGCAAACAGGAUUAGAUACCCUGGUAGUCCACGCCGUAAACGAUGAGUGCUAAGUGUUGGUCUCAUAAGAGAUCAGUGCUGCAGCUAACGCAUUAAGCACUCCGCCUGGGAGGUACGACCGCAAGGUUG
rnacentral:rRNA from 1 species